rnacentral:lncRNA from 1 species
AGGGGUGCUGAAGGACUCAUUCAACUUUUGAAUGAUCUCCUCUAGCUGCGAUCCUCAAACUUACGACUAAGUUCAUCGUUCAUAGCUUCCUUAUCAUGCAAUGUACAGUCGUACGAUCAUUGAGUCACUUUAAGUAAGUGUCUCUCACAGCACGAGGAGCAUUGACUGUAGGUUUUUUAGAUGUCUGAUCAGUAAGAUG